CAGCAGCCGCGGGAAUACAGAGGGUGCGAGCGUUAAUCGGAUUUACUGGGCGUAAAGCGUGCGUAGGCGGCUUCUUAAGUCGGAUGUGAAAUCCCUGAGCUUAACUUAGGAAUUGCAUUCGAUACUGGGAAGCUAGAGUAUGGGAGAGGAUGGUAGAAUUCCAGGUGUAGCGGUGAAAUGCGUAGAGAUCUGGAGGAAUACCGAUGGCGAAGGCAGCCAUCUGGCCUAAUACUGACGCUGAGGUACGAAAGCAUGGGGAGCAAACAGGAUUAGAGACCCCCGUAGUCCCUGUCUCUUAUAC
rnacentral:rRNA from 1 species